rnacentral:tRNA from 1 species
CGCCGUACAGGCGGGCGGCUCGGCCAUGCUCAAGGCCUGGCAAGGCCCGUUCGGCGACGUGCGGUUCUGCCCCACGGGCGGCGU